GGGGAAUCUUGCGCAAUGGUCUAACGACUGACGCAGCGACGCCGCGUGUGGGAGGACGCCUUUCGGGGUGUAAACCACUGUUGCCCGGGACGAACAGGGUCAUUCGUUACCCCUGACGGUACCGGGUGAGGAAGCACCGGCUAACUCCGUGCCCGCAGCCGCGGUAAUACGGAGGGUGCGAGCGUUGUCCGGAAUCAUUGGGCGUAAAGGGCGCGUAGGUGGCCCGGUCAGUCUUUGGUGAAAGCGCGGGGCUCAACCCUGCGUCGGCCAGGGAUACUGCCGCGGCUCGAGCACUGUAGAGGCAGGCGGAAUUCCGGGUGUAGCGGUGGAAUGCGUAGAGAUCCGGAAGAACACCGGUGGCGAAGGCGGCCCGCUGGGCAGGAAGACCCCGCAAGGGGUCGGCUGACGCUGAGGCGCGACAGCGUGGGGAGCAAAC
rnacentral:rRNA from 1 species